rnacentral:rRNA from 1 species
CUUGAACGCUGGCGGCAGGCCUAACACAUGCAAGUCGAGCGGAUGAAGGGAUCUUGUUCCUGGAUUCAGCGGCGGACGUGUGUGUAAUGCCUAGGAAUCUGCCUGGUAGCGGAGGAUAACGUCCGGGAACGGGCGCUAAUACCGCAUACGUCCUGAGGGAGAAGGUGGGGGAUCUUCGGACCUCACGCUAUCAGAUGAGCCUGGGUCGGGUUAGCUAGUUGGUGGGGUAAAGACCUACCAACGCGACGAUCCGUAACUGGUCUGUGAGGAUGAUCAGUCACACUAGAACUGAGACACGGUCCAGACUCCUACGGGAGGCAGCAGUGGGGAAUAUUGGACUAUGGGCGAAAGCCGGAUGCAGCCAUGCCGCGUGUGUGAAGAAGGUCUUCGGAUUGUAAAGCACUUUGAGUUGGGAGGAAGGGCAGUAAGUUAAUACCUUGCUGUUUUGACGUUACCAACAGAAUAAGCACCGGCUAACUUCGUG